UACGAACUGUGCAACCGUUAUUCGGAUUCACUGGGCUUAAAGGGUGCGUAGGCGGCCAUGUAAGUAGGGUGUGAAAUCCCCCGGCUUAACCGGGGAACCGCGCCCUAAACUGUAUGGCUGGAGUGAGAUAGGGGUGUGUGGAACUUCCGGUGGAGCGGUGAAAUGUGUUGAUAUCGGAAGGAACGCCGGUGGCGAAAGCGACACACUGGGUCUCAACUGACGCUGAGGCACGAAAGCCAGGGGAGCGAACGGG
rnacentral:rRNA from 1 species